GACGAACGCUGGCGGCGUGCCUAAUACAUGCAAGUAGAACGCUGAAGAGAGGAGCUUGCUCUUCUUGGAUGAGUUGCGAACGGGUGAGUAACGCGUAGGUAACCUGCCUUGUAGCGGGGGAUAACUAUUGGAAACGAUAGCUAAUACCGCAUAACAAUGGAUGACACAUGUCAUUUAUUUGAAAGGGGCAAUUGCUCCACUACAAGAUGGACCUGCGUUGUACUAGCUAGUAGGUGAGGUAACGGCUCACCUAGGCGACGAUACAUAGCCGACCUGAGAGGGUGAUCGGCCACACUGGGACUGAGACACGGCCCAGACUCCUACGGGAGGCAGCAGUAGGGAAUCUUCGGCAAUGGGGGCAACCCUGACCGAGCAACGCCGCGUGAGUGAAGAAGGUUUUCGGAUCGUAAAGCUCUGUUGUAAGUCAAGAACGAGUGUGAGAGUGGAAAGUUCACACUGUGACGGUAGCUUACCAGAAAGGGACGGCUAACUACGU
rnacentral:rRNA from 1 species